AAGUUGGAGGAUUCCGUGGCGGGUUGCAGGGUGGAGGUGAAGGGAGGUUUGGUGGAUGUAAAAGGCGGAGUCCUGUUAUGGAGUUUUUUGGUUGAAUGGUUGUUGAUGAAUGGAAGAUGGAGAAGGUAGCAGGUUGAAGGAUUGAAGAGUGUGGUGGAAGGUUGAUGGUGGUUUUUGAAGAAUGGUGAUGGUUGAAGAAGAGAAGAGGGAUGGUUGAAGAAUUUGUGAAUUGUUGAAUUAUGGGAAAGAUGAUGGAGAGCUUGAAUUGAAGAUGGAGGAUGGUUCUUAUAGGAGAGUAAGGUUAGAGAGAUGGUUGGUUAUGACAGUUGGAAGUAGUUAGAGUUUGUUGAAUUCUGUUAGAGUUUGGUUUGAGUUUGUUUUGACAGUUAGAUUUCUAUUAUUUCGGUUGGUUAAGAGGUUUGCUAAGGAGGUGGAAUUUCUGUUAUAAAGUUAGUUUGCAAUUUUCCCCUGAUUUUGUUAUGUGCUGCUUUCUUUUAUGCGGGUUUUGUUAGAAGGUUUGGUUGAAGCGGCUUAGUUU
rnacentral:lncRNA from 1 species